rnacentral:RNase_P_RNA from 1 species
CGGGAUGCUCAUGCGAUCGCGUGCCAGAGAGAUCUGGUCCGAGGAACGUCCGGGCUCCACAGGGCACGAUGGUGGGUAACGCCCACCCGGGGCAACCCGAGAGCAAGUGCAGCAGAGAGCAGACCGCCAGCGGCGACCUCGGUCGCAGCUGGUAAGGGUGAAACGGUGGUGUAAGAGACCACCAGUGGGCAUGGUGACAUGCCCAGCUGGGUAAACCUCAUCGGGAGCAAGACCAAGCAUGGAGGUGGGCGGCCCGCCUGUACCUCCGGGUAGGUUGCUGGAGCGUGUCAGCAAUGGCACGCCGAGAGAGAUGAUCGCACCCGGUCACGGCACCUCGUGUGUUGCGGCCGGCGACAGAACCCGGCGUAUCGAGCAUCCCGUCCA